rnacentral:rRNA from 1 species
UAGUAACUGAUCGAAUCGCAUGGGUUAUGCUGGCGAUAGUUCAUUCAAAUUUCUGCCCUAUCAGCUUUCGACGGUAGUGUAGUGGACUACCGUGGCUUUAACGGGUGACGGAGAAUUAGGGUUCGAUUCCGGAGAGGGAGCCUGAGAAACGGUACCACAUCCAAGGGAAGGCAGCAGGCGCGCAAAUUACCCAAUCCUGACACAGGGGAGGUAGUGACAAGAAAUAACAAUACCGGGCCUUUCAAGGUCUGGUAAUUGGAAAUGAGUACCAUUUUAAAUUCUCUUAAACAAAGGAUCCAUUGGAGGGGCAAAGUUCUUGGGUGCCAAGGCAAGCCGGCGGGUAUAUUUUCCCAAGGCUUCCCAAAUUAGCGUUAUUAUUUAAUUGGUUUGGCUUGGCAAGUUUUCAAAAAAAGGGCUUCCGGUUAAAGUUUGGGGAAUUUUUCUUUGGACUUUUGGGGCGGCAACCCCUUUGGGGCCCCGGCACCAACGGGGUUUAACCAGUUGGUUUGUUUGAAGUUU